GACUACCCGGGUAUCUAAUCCCUUUCGCGCCCCUAGCCUUCAUCCCUUACUGUCAGAACUGUCCUCGUAAGAUGCCUUCGCUGUUGUUAGUCCGUCUGGGAUUAACACAUUUUACCGCUACUCCAAACGUACUUCUUACGUCUUCCAGUCUCUAGCUUAACAGUACUUCUUGCCCGCUCCAUAUUUAAGACAUGGAAUUUCACAAGAAACUUACUAAGCAAGCUACGGAUGUUUUAGACCCAAUAAUAAUGGCUGCGACUUGGACCGCGGGUAUUACCGCGGCGGCUGGCACCCGUCUUACCCAGUCCUUAUUCGCCAAACUUUUUACAUUUGGCAAAAGCUUUUCAUAUGAAAAGCACUCUGACUCAAUCUGUCACGCUUGCGCGCAUUGCAGAAGAUUCCUCACUGCAGCCCCCCGUAGG
rnacentral:rRNA from 1 species